GCCUGAGUGGCUCAGUCAGUGAGCGUCUGACUUCAGCUCAGGUAUGAUCUCAUGGUUCGUGAGUUCGAGCCCCAUGUCAGGCU
rnacentral:tRNA from 1 species